CCUGGAAUAUGCUGAACAUUGAAACAAAACAGUUGCAGUGCUUGAUACCACUGGGUGAUCCUUCCGUUGGUGUCCUUCAUCCGAUACAUUUUACCAUUCUUGCCUUUGGCUUGCAUGGAGCUCCGGGGACCUUCCAGAGACUCAUGGAUCAGCAUCCCAAUCAGGUCCAGUGGACGGAGACAGCUGUGGAAGCCUUUCAGGACAUCCGGCAAUCAUUGAGUGAAUGGGAAAUCUGGAGGUUCAUAUUCAUUUGAGAUUAAAGGUGAAAGGGGGGAUUGGUGCUGUCGUCCUGCCACUCUCGCCGAUCACUUAAGCUGUUUACGGUAGGUUGGUUUGAAGCCAAAACCCCUGGAAACCCUCAUGUCUGUGCUUCCUUCCAAGUCUCUCUUUUAGCCAGGCUGCCAUAGUUACUUUAGUACUGCCGGAGGUUAGGUUAGGUGUAGGGCAAUAACUCUUCUCCAUCUUCUCUUUUCCGAGCUGAUCCCUAGCCGACACUACACUGCUUGGACCCUCACCUGGACUCCUGGAGAUAACUACAUGAAACCAACUGGGACUUUAAAACUAUAUGGACUAAAAUUUAUGUCAAUGUAAAUACAGUUUCAUGCUCCCUGGUUGCCCAGAGGAGGAUGGGAUCCCCUUCCGAGUCUAGGUUCCUCUCAAGGUUUCUUCCUGCUAGAAGGAGUUUUUCCUUGCCACUUUCACCUCAGGCUUGCUUGCUGGGAUUCGAGCCAGUUAUAUGUAAAUUGCUUUGUGACAAUGACUAUUAUUAAAAGCAUUACAUAAAUAAAAUUGAAUUGAAGAUGGCAACAGCUGGCUAACAAGUGGCAUUGCAGCUGCUGUAAGCUCUCAAUUUUGACUUGAAAAUGGGGUGCUUCAGUGGGUAACUAUAUUGCCUCACAUAUCCUAGUUUGUGCGUGCGGAGCUUGCAUGUUCUUUCUAUGUUACCUGGGUUUUUUCAGAUAAUCUGAUGUCCAUCUGCAUUCCAAUUCAUUUAGGCUGAUUGGUGUCUCUGAAUUGUCCAUAGUGAAUGACAAUGUGUGCUUUUGUGAGCCUGACUAUUAUAAGCAGUUAGAAGAUGAAUGGAUUAAAACAAUGGCUUUUUACCUCACUUAAAACCCCAAGGGGGAGACAACUCAACUCAUUAAAAGUGUUUCAUUUCAUCUCCCCCACAAAAACUACACAAAAGGAUAAUUAACUUUUGUGCAUCCAAGACUUUAACGACAACCUCAUGUGGUCAGGGCUGGAAACAGCAGACUAGGUUGGUGAAAGAUGAUCUUGGGAUUACUGGGUCGGAAAUAACUUCAAACCACCAAGUUUUCUGCAGCCCUUGUGUCUGACCUGUUCACCUACUUGACUCCAAGUGGAGGAUAAU